rnacentral:tRNA from 1 species
ACAUUGGUGUUCAGUGGUAGAUUCUCACCUUCCAUGUGGGAGACCUGGGUUCAAUUCCCAGCCAAUGCG